AGUGGGAUAGCUGGGUCAAAUGGUGGUUCCAUUUCAAGUUUUCUAAGGAAUCUCCAUAUUGCUUUCCAGAUUGGCUGUACCAAUUUCAGUCUCACCAGCAAU
rnacentral:pre_miRNA from 1 species